CCCUUGAGAUCCACUGUUUGCUCUUCUAACAGUAUAAUACUAGCUGUGCACUUGCAGCCCCUUUCAGUUGAGCUGGGUCCUGGUAUCCUCGGGAACAUUUUUUUAGGGAAUCCAGGUAAGCUCAGCAUGAUAAAUUGAUAAUCAGUCCAUUUCAUUCAUUUACUCUUUAUCUGUGUCACUUGUCACAACCUCAUUCCUGUUAAAUUUGAAGCGCCCACUAAAUACUAUUGCUAUUAGAUCUAAAGACGAUGCACUCUAGAAAUUUAAGUGAAAAAAGUUGGGUAAUGCAUUUAGCAUAUUUUAACUGUGAACGAGGGACAUUCCUGUUAAUCUUUGGAAGGCCCUCUAAAAUAUCUCCUUUUAUUGUUUGCUUCAACUGUUGGAGAUGUUCUCGCAGGCGGAGAUCUAUAUGAUACUGUCUUCGAGAACAUUGCUGACUCUAUUGUAGACUGUCUUCGAGAACAAUUUGAUGAACCAGUGUCGCCCUUCCACCUGGUUCUAAGGGGAAAGUAAAUUACGUCGCUUCAGCUAUUCAAUACAGCCUAUAGGAUACAGUGCUAGAGUUAGAAUUUCAGGGCCUGAAAA